rnacentral:rRNA from 1 species
GUGGGGAAUAUUGGACAAUGGGGGGAACCCUGAUCCAGCCAUGCCGCGUGUGUGAAGAAGGCCUUUUGGUUGUAAAGCACUUUAAGCGAGGAGGAGGCUACCGAGAUUAAUACUCUUGGAUAGUGGACGUUACUCGCAGAAUAAGCACCGGCUAACUCUGUGCCAGCAGCCGCGGUAAUACAGAGGGUGCAAGCGUUAAUCGGAUUUACUGGGCGUAAAGCGCGCGUAGGUGGCCAAUUAAGUCAAAUGUGAAAUCCCCGAGCUUAACUUGGGAAUUGCAUUCGAUACUGGUUGGCUAGAGUAUGGGAGAGGAUGGUAGAAUUCCAAGUGUAGCGGUGAAAUGCGUAGAGAUCUGGAGGAAUACCGAUGGCGAAGGCAGCCAUCUGGCCUAAUACUGACACUGAGGUGCGAAAGCAUGGGGAGCAAACAGGAUUAGAUACCCUAGUAGUCC